CAUGCGUGUGGAGGACACGCUGACAUGAACGUGAACGCGCUCUACCAGCAGGUGGCAGUCUUUAUGUCAUUGCCAACAACUGAUAAGAAGCAGAGGAAGAAGUCAGACGUUUUUCCAGAUCCCGACCCACCGCUCCCGUGAAUAUCACCACCUCCUACCCUCACACUCACCUCUCCUUUGCUUUUUAUAUAUAUAUAUUAAACCAACGGCUCUUUUAAGAGCCACACCUGUACUGCUCUCUCUCUCUCUCUCCCUCUCUCUCUCUCUCUCUCUCUCUGUUUAUCUGUGGCUGAUGAGCACGACAGUGUGAAGGUGGAUGAUGCUAUUUUCCUAGCAGACUUGUUUCUGGCUGAAUUAAGAGAAGAAGAAGCACCUGCUGAACGUAGUAAGGCUACGCUCCGGUGGGUGGAGAGAGAUGCAGAUGGUCGUCGACUCGUAAAAAGAAGUAGAAGUGGAGAGACGAGGAAACGUGUAAAGGCUACAGACACUGAGAUGCAGAACUUGAAGGAUAUCCUGACAACAGCAAAUGUUCUGAAUAUGGAAGAGCAGCCUUCAGCCUCCACAUCAUGGUGCUUGCGUCAGUCUGCUGCUCAAGACGAGUGGCGGAAAGCACGGUCCUACCACCUCAACAGUUUGCUGUCCUGCAGUGAGGUCCCUUAAAGGAAGUGCUGUCACUGCACCUGUCCGGCCAUAGGUGGCUGCAGAGACUGUUUACCAGACGAGUGGCUGUGUAUGAAAUGUGACGUACGCAUACACACAAAACUCACACUCCAUAACCGGGAGUCUUGCAUUGAGGCACUUUACAAACCCAUUAAGCCAACAGUGUGCUGUGUAGAACAGGAUGGCACAUACCGUCUGGUCAAUCAAGUGAGACCUUCCCAGCUGUGCACCUGUUCCAGAAAACAUCAUUGAGUCAGCUGGUCCAGCAGGUAUCUUGGUUUUUCAUAAAUGGCUGGUAUGAUUUGCACAUUCCAAACUUGUUGUGCAGAUUGUGUCUGACACAGUGGAGACCUGACAGAAGUGACCUUAUAAAGAGCGGCUACUGGCCAGGAACUGUAAAUGCUGAGACUUUGUUUUCAGUUGAUGUCUUCAGCACAUUUGAAGAAAUGAAAACUGUUGCUCCCAGUUUGUCCAUCAAGCUUUUUUGCAGAUGUUAGAGAGGAGAACUACUCACUUUGGAAGGGCUGGGAAAAUACAUGGAGACGUAUUCCAGAGAAGCUUCCUGGAGUAUACAUUCUGCCAGUUCCAGUGUGACAAUAUGGCCUGUGUUGAACAGUUCACCUGCCCUGCAUGUGCACCAAACAUGCUGGCUCUCUGUGCAGAUGGCAACCGACAGUCAAAGGAUGAUUCAUUUACACUUUUUAAAUUUAACUGAGUAAAUAAUAUCUGAGACCCAUGAAUAUAAUUGUUUUUCUUUUCUCAUUAAGGUCAGAGGAGCCACUUUCAUUUCAAAGGACAGUGACGUACAGCAUUUUGUUGAGGACGUCCAGAGCAAAGUUAAAAGUGUUGUAGUAUUUGCACUGUUAUUUAAAUACAUUAAAUGGCCAAACUUUUGAGAUAUAUGACUUUAUUUAAUAGUUUAAGUCGUCAAAGCCAGUUGUUGUCUUGUUAAGAUAAUAUAAUAUAAUAUAAUAUGAUAUAAUAUAAUAACAAGUAUUUAAGUUAAGGAAAUCUCAGUUUUAACUACAGUAUUUUCUCAUCUAGACUGCUGGCAGAGGAAUCUGUGGAGCCAGUCAGUGAUCUGCUGCACGAGAGACUCCCACGAAUAGCAAGCAAGCUGGACGAAGAGGGCCUUUUUUGCAUUCUGCCAUCUGAUAUCUGCAUGCACAGAUAUGUAUAUCAUUUCUGCGGUUUCUAACUUUAUAGAUAGCAACAAAAUUCGACACGUGCGUCGAAGGAAAUUGAGGGAAGGGGAGAAGAAACUGCUGGAGACAAUCAAGCUCUAUAAUGAGCAGGAGUCUAAUGAGGAGCAGAUGGAUGUGGCGAAGGUGGAGAGCAGACUUUCCAUGGUUGGAGGAGACGGUGGGCCGGAUCUGAUAUGGCCAUGGGAAGUGGGACGAUUUUUCUCUAAAGCAGUUGCUUCAAGAGGAAAGGGUCAUCGUGCUGAGGGAGAUGAGACAGCACUGCACCUACCUCAGAGGUCUGGCUGAGAACAUCAGGGCUAAGAUGUCAGAAAUGUCUACUGUCAGGAGCAGUGGAAGUUUAAGUGAAGUGGGACAUUGUGGGCUGCGGUGUCUUCUUUGGAAAAGGCUUGCCGAUGUGGAUGAGAAGUUCCAACUUGUUAUUCGUAUAGUUACAGCCAGGCCCUGGGACCAAAUGCUGUAUUUUUCCAGGAGGACUGGCCCCAAGAGUCUCAGAAAGAACUGGAUGAGAGUUCAGAUGACAGUGAUUUGGAGGCAGUGUAAAUCUGUGCUCAUCUGCAAUCUCAGCGCACAACCCUCCACACAUCCCUCAGUGAAUCCAUCAGGGAAACAUCUUGUCGGGCAGAGAGUUGAUAUUUCCUGACUGGUGGCAGAAAGGACUUAUAGUACAUCUCCACUUCCAAGCCUUUAUCUUUUCACCAGCAGCACGGCAGCCAUCUAGGCACCUCUUCAUCUCAGCCCAAACAAGGUGGCAUCCUCCAGAUCUGCUUCUCCCCACAGACGUAUCCAACAGUACUUUAUAAAAUACAACAAAAACAGAAGGUUGAGGUACCAGACUUUGCUGCUACCAAUUGAAGCACAUGUUCUGGAAAGUAUCAUUUGAUCAAUCUAGGAAAAGGGACAACUAAUCGAGUUGGAAAACAGUUGUUAGUUGCAGUCCUGUUUUAUUGUGGCAUCUAUUUGUUGUAUCCUUUUUUAUUAUAAUACACUUUGUUUUAUUGGACUAUUUUAAAGUGUGUUAUCAAUGCUUUUCUUUUAAUAAAGGAAUUGUAUACCCUUAUACUGGAUGUAUUCUAUACUGUGUGUUCCAGUAUGAUGUCAGUAUGAUCAGUCUUUGGAAUGCUACACCUGUUGUUGCUUUUUCAAAUAAAACAGUUGUGAGCUAGGAAA